UUUUCCUUACUAUUUUUGGUUGGAGAAAUAGAGAAAAAAGAAUGGAAGGAAGAAAUCAUAGGCGCGGAGGUGGAUCUCGAGAAGAGAACACUCGAAGAAUGUGAGUUUUUUUGGACCGAUUUUCGCACGAUUUGUCUACAAAUC
ensembl:ncRNA C05B10.18 ncRNA